rnacentral:lncRNA from 1 species
AUGGAGUUCCGGGCGCCAUAUCCGCUCUUGCAUCCCUCCCACGCUGCUGGACAUCCUCACUAUUAUUCAGGUACGUGCAUUUGAAAAGCGAUAAGAUAUAGAAAUUGUGUAACCAUAAAUAUCGUAAGUUAUCAUGUUUAUUUUUUACUAAACCUAUUUCGCAUGGGAAAAAAAAAACAACAAAAAAGAAAAGAAGAAAAGUAAAGAAAAUCCUCGAAGAUAUGUCGAACGUUUUGUAAACGACAUCUCGUGGCAUACGAAAUCACGACGUUAUCGCAUAAAUUACUACCUACGGGAUAUGCAAUGAGAUAUGACGAGAUUCAAAAGCACCGAACUAUCUGUCGCGAAAUAUUUCGUAACUAUAUGAAAAAAAAAAAAAAAAAAUAGAAAAAUAAAAAGUGAAAAAGGUAGGAAGGAGAGAACAUUUUCGAAAUUGACGUCAUCGUGUAGCUUUCUAUUAAAUUACACGAAUGCGUGAACUAUAGAAUCGAGAAAUAAAGAAAUCAAGGAAAUAUAAUCUAAUGCUCCUUCGAAAUACCGAUUUUUUAUUUAACAAAUCUUUCGCGUAUGUAGAAAAUAUGUCGGUAGUGUUUCCUGCGAGCUACUCCUUGUUUUACGCGUCAUUAGAGCGAGAAUAAUUUUCUCUUUUCAGUAAUAAUAAUAAUAAAAAAAAAGAAAAAAAAAGAAAAAUACGAUGGCGGGAUAACAUUUUCCUUCGUGUGAAAUCACGAUAGCGUAAAGGCUCGGGAAUCUGCGUUAAAAGAAAUAGAAAAUAGGACCGGGAGAAAUAGAAAUAGAA